UAGAUCGUAGUUUAAUGUAGAAUUGAAGCUUUGGGAGUUUUAGGUGCCUUUUUGGGUUGA
rnacentral:tRNA from 2 species